CCCCGGGGUCUUUGUACACACCGCCCGUCACACCAUGGGGAGCGGGAUGUACCAGAAGUAGGUAGGCUAACCGCAAGGGGGGCCGCUUACCACGGUGCGUUUUCGUGACUGGGGGUG
rnacentral:rRNA from 1 species